rnacentral:lncRNA from 1 species
AAUAAGAUUCGUCGUAGGUUUCAUCUCCCUUAGGUAUUUAGGGAGUUUAGUUCAUAAUAAUGGAAAACAUCUCAAAAAUUAGAAAACAAUAAAACAUAAAGAAACCUAAAGAACUUCUAGGAAAUUGGAUGGAAAUCUUCAGUCUUGUUGUAAAUCCUCCUUCUGAGUUGAUCCCGAUGGUUGUUCUUGAGUAUUUUCUACCUUCUAUUCUCCAUGUCCCCCUUGAUCCUCUUCUAGGGUGUUUAUAUAGACCUUGGAAUGCCCAAAAUAGCCCAAAAUUGGCUUUUCCGAAUAGAAUUAGACUUUGGCUUGACAGGGUGUGUGCCACGCCCGUGUGAAGGUGUUCAGGCUGUGUGUAAUUCUGAGUUGGUUUUUAGUCGACACGGCCAUGACACACGGGCGUGUGGUCUGCCCGUGUGUAUUACACGGGCGUGUGGAUUACCCGUGUGGAAGUGCCUAGGCCAUGUGAAACACUGAAUUAGGCCCAUUUUGUCUGCUUUUGGCGCGUUUCUUGCUAUUUUUGCCUUCCUAUGCUCGCCUAAGUAUAAAACAUGAAUUUAAAGGAUUAGGAACAUCGAAUUUAAUGAAACCAAGGAAAAAAAUCAUCCAUAAAGCCAAGCAUAGGGUAAAAAUAUGUAUAUAUUAUGGUUUAUCAAUAACCACUGUCACCCAUUGUAAUAAAAUUUGUCCACCUUAAUCAAAAUUUUUAUUAACUUACAUCACCUCAUAAUUUAUUAAUUAAUCUUUUAUAUACGGGUUAGCUUCUUUGCUUGCUUAGUUGUUUCAGUUAUCUUCAAAUUCUUGUCACUAUGUAUUUUGGAAUUAAAAAAUAUAUUAAAUGUAAAAAUGUGAUUUUUUAAUAAAAUUUAUUUUAAAGAUAAAAUGUGAAAUUGAUACCAAUAUAAAAUUUUAAUCCAAUUUUUUAUGGCAUAAUUAAUAAUUCAAUUUUAAUAUAAAUAUUCAAUAUGACUAAACAAUUCAAUAAUAUAAAUAAUAUAAAAUAUGAAACUUAAUUUAAUAAUAUAAAUAGUAGGUAUAAAUAAAAUUAUUACUAUUUAUGUUUAGUAUUUUUUUUGGAUAAUUUUGAUUUUUUAUUUGAGAAUAAAAGGUGAGAAGUAAAAGUUUAGGGGGAAAAUAAAAAGUUUUAGGUAAUAAAAGUUUGAGGGAAGAGUAAAAUUUUGGAGGGAAAAUAUUAAAAAAAAAAUUAGGGGGUGGGUUUGGGAUAGAUGGGAGGUGGGAUGAGAAGGGAGUAAAAAUUUUGAGGGAAAAGAAAAAGUUUUAAGGGUUUUGGGGAGUAAAAUUUUGAGAAAAAGUAAAUGGGAGAGAAAAAUUUUGGUGGGAAAUAGAUUUUGGGUAGAUUGGGAGGGUUGGGAUGGGAGGGGAGUAAAAGUUUUAAGGGGAAAGUAUGAAGGAAUAAAAGUUUUGAGGGAAAAGUAAAAAGGUUUAGGAGUUUAGGAUAAAAAUGUAAAAUAUUAUAGUUUGAUAUUUGAAUUAUUUGAAUUAUUUGAGUUAUUCGAAUUUGAAAACUAAACUCGAUUCGAACUCGAAAUUCGAAAAAAAUUCGAAUUGACUCGAAUAACUCGAUUCGUUUAACUCAAAAUUCGAAUUCUUUUUCGAUUUUUUCGAGUCAAAUCGAGUUUUGCUCACCCUUAAUGACAACAUUGCUCAUAUCAAGCAAAAUUUUUCCAAUACCUAUCCCAGAUGUAAUAACAGUGAAGAGACGAUCAUCCAUGUAAUGAAAGAUUGCCCUGUGGCUCGUUGAUCCUUACUCUUAAAGGCUUAAAUAAUAAAUUGUUGGAAGGGAAUUAUAAUCGCUACACCGACUGGCUAGAAAAUGUCCUUCGCGUUUUAGAUGCCAAAGUUGCUAUUGGUUUCUUCACCCUCCUUUGGAAUAUCUGGAAUAAUAGGAAUAAUUUGGUUUUCAAUGGAAAGGGGGAUGCAGCUGGGAAGGUUUGGGAAAAGGCAAAAACCCUCAGUGAUGAUUUCAGAAUAUACAACAUCACGGAUCCACCUGUUAUCCCUCUUAUUUCGACAAAUAAAAAAUAGAUGAAACCACCGAUCCGCUAUGUUAAAAUUAACAUAGAUGCGACUAUCUCAAACGGUGGCAUGGGGUAUGCUGUCAUUGCCAGAGAUUCGGAUGGUUUUGUUCUAGGGAGAUGCUAUGGCGUUAAAGACAAACAUUUGGAUGCAAACUGGGC